AUGGAAGAAGGGAUAUCACAGCUGAUGUCAUAUCGAUUCUGGCUGAAAGCAGAGAAUACCAGAAAGAUGUUUACCUGUGUAUUAUUGACUAUGCAAAGGCAUUUGACUGCUUGGGUCAUAACAAAUUAUGGAUAACAUUGCGAAGAGUGGGAAUCCCAGAACACUCAAUUGUGCUGAUGAGGAACCUGAUCAAGAGGUAGACGUUCAAACAGAAAAAGGUGAUACUACGUGGUUUAAAGUCAGGAAAGGUGUGUGUCAGGGUUGUAUCCUUUCACAAUACUUAUUUAAUCUGCAAAUAAUCUGAGAAGCUAGACUAUACGAAGAACACGACAUCAGGAUUGGAGGAAGACUCAUUAACAACCUGCAUUUUGCAGAUGACACAACCCCGCUUGCUAAAAGAUAAGAGGUCUUGAAGCACUUACUGAUGAAGAUCAAAGACCGCGGCCUUCAGUAGAGAUUGCACCUCAACAUGAAGAAAACAAAAAUCCUCACAACUGGGCCAAUGAGCAACAUCGUGAUAAACGGAGAAAAGAUUGAAGUUGUCAAGGAUUUCAUCUUAUUUGGAUCCACAAUCAACACGCAUGGACACAGCAGUUAAGAAAUCAAAAGAUGCAUUGCAUUAGGGAAACUGGCUGCAAAAGACCUCUAAAGUGUUGAAAAGCAAAGACAUCACCUUGAAAACGAAGAUGCAACUGAUCCAAGCCACAGUGUUUUCAGUGGCCUCGUAUGUGUGGGAAAGCUGGCUGAUGAAUAAGGAAGACUGUAGAAGAACUGAUGCCUUUUAAUUGUCGUAUUGGUGAAGAAUUCUGAAUACACCAUGAAUUGCCAAAAGAAUGAAAAAAUCUAUCUUGAAAGAAGUAUAACCAGAACGUACCCUAGGCUAGAAGCAAAGAUGGCCAGACUACAUCCUACAUACUUUGGACCUGUUUUCAGGAGGAAUUAGUCCAUGGAGAAGAAUAUCAUGUACUAUUUCUUUGGACUAUCUAAGACCUGAAGAACAAAAUCUCAUGGUCCAAAUUAACGUUUUUACUUACUAAUUUUCAAAUGUAGCCCUGGUGGAACAUUUGGUUAAGAGCUUGGCUGAAACUAAAAGGUCUCAACCAGCCUCUCCUUAGAAGCCCUGCUGUGCAGUUCUAUUCUGUCCAAUAGGGUCACUGUUAGUUAAAAUUUAAUCCACAGCAAUGAGUUAUUUAAUUUUCAAAUACAAAUUUGUUGUGUUAAUGUCUAAAUUCUAAAUUAAAUUUUAUUUUAUAAACUACCUGUUUUAUAAAUUUACUUUCUAUUAUUCAAAUUUAUUGUUAUGGUAGAAUCAAAUUUAAAAAGUGACAUAAUUUUAUAUCCAGGCAAAAUGAAAUGGCAAUAACUAAGUGGAGUGCAAAAAUGGAAGCCUGCAGGAGAUAAAAAGAAAAUGAUUUGUGAAUCCCUAAAGACAAUCCCCAAAUUCCUUUUUAGAAUGUAAUAAAUCAGAAGAGACUUCUUCCAUUAAAGAAGCAUUAGAAGAAACAAGUAAAUGACAGAAAUGCUCCAGAAGUAUUGAGUGCCAGGAAUCAAUUUUACAUAACCACCAUCACUGACACACUUGAAUCUUGCAUGAAAUGAAGGGCAAAAUGAAAUGCCAAUAACUAAGUGGAGUGCAAAAAUGGAAGCCUGCAGAAGAUAAAAUGAUUUGUGAAUCCCUAAAGACAAUUCCAAAAUUCCUUUUUAGAAUGUAAUAAAUCAGAACAGACUUCUUCCACUAAAGGUACAUGCUUAAUGGGUGGGAAUCAUCCUACUAGUACCACUAGUGCUGAAAUUAACGAUGGCAAUACAAAUAAGAGAAUUUGUUCCAAAUUCUGCAUCCAUUUCUUGCUGUAGUAAAAAAAAAAAAAUUAGUAAUGAUCUAGAAAGUGAAACUAAGAAUAUUAAAUUGUCACAUCUGCAGACCCCAUAAAUAACAAAAAUGCAGAUCCUGCCUUGUGGAAUAAUUUUCUUCCAACGAAGUAAAUUACUGGAUCAAAAGAGGCCCAAGUGAUUGUCAACAUCACAGUUGUCCACUUGUAAAUUUGUGUUGAAAAUUCCUGGACGGUAAACAAAGUUCUGUAGCCAGAAUUUCUUCUAGAGUGCAAAGUUAAUGAUGAAAAUUAUAAGAGGGAGUGGCUACUGCAAUCUCCAUCAGUCAGCUCUGUGUAUUGUUUUGUUUGCAAACCUAGUAACCAAACAAACAAACCCGUCAUCCUCAUUUAAUUCUUGAAUUGUUACAGAUGAAUUUAGCAAUUGGUGCAAAUUGAAUAGGAUCGGUAAACAUGAAAAUAGUUCAAUUCACAAAGAUUAUGUUAUCAUAUUUAAACCAAACACACUGUUCUGGCUUAAUUUAUGAAGUGGAAUCACAAAUUAAUAAACAUCAGUAUUGAAAGGCCAUUUUGUAAUGUGUCAUUGUUGUCAUAACAAUCACCGAAUGGGGACUAUCUUCGUGAAAAAGAAAUGAAGUCUUUGGGUCCCCACGAAAUGGAAAAUUUUAAAGUUGACUUCAACUUGUUGCUCAUUUGAUCUAUUUUUAGCAAGUCACAUCUCAAAACACGGUAACACAGGAAAGGGCAAUCCAUCCUAUAAUUCUAAAAUAAUGUGUAAAAAAUUUAUAAUUUUGAUAAGUGAUGAAAUUCAAUCAACUAUUUUCAGUGAAAUAAGUAUAGCUCGAUAUUUCAUUUUGUCUGUGGAUUCCACUUCUGAGCCUUCUCAUACAGGCCAGCUAAGGAUUGUUUAAAGAUCCGUAUCUCCAACAGAUAGAAAACCUGUGUGGUGAUUUAUCACAUUUACUAGCUUAAAAAAUCUAAAAAAUCAUACUGGUAAAGACAUUGCAAAGCAAGUGUUUCACUAAUUAUGUGAAGUUUGCAAAAUUGAUUUUUCUAAGUGCAGAGACCAAUCCUAUGACAAUGCUGCCAUUACGUCACUGCAUUAUAAAGGCAUGCGACAGAAAAUUCUGGAAUGAAAUUAAUAUGCCAUUUUCAUACCAAGGUGCUGCACAUUCACUUAAUUUUGUAGGAUGUAUCACAAUAGAUUUUUUUUGUCCAAAACCAAUUGAUGUUUUUUCGAAUAUUCAGUUACUUUACAAAUUUUUUGCCACCUCUACUCACUGAUGAGCUGUUCUUAAAACAUAUUCAGGCAAUGACUGAACAUUAAAAUGUCAUGCUAUAGCAACAAGUACAAUUCUAGGUGCCACACAGAAUAUUGCUGAAGACCAGAUACAGAAAGGAAACACCAAAACAGAAGCUAAAAUCAUCGCUGCCUUAGUCAUCUAGUGCUGCCACAACAGAUACCGUAAGUGGAUGGCUUUAACAAAGAGAAAUUUAUUUUCUCACAGUCUAGUAGGUUACAAGUCCAAAUUCAGGACGUCAGC